CUACGUGCCAGCAGCCGCGGUAAUACGUAGGUCCCGAGCGUUGUCCGGAUUUAUUGGGCGUAAAGCGAGCGCAGGCGGUUAGAUAAGUCUGAAGUUAAAGGCUGUGGCUUAACCAUAGUACGCUUUGGAAACUGUUUAACUUGAGUGCAAGAGGGGAGAGUGGAAUUCCAUGUGUAGCGGUGAAAUGCGUAGAUAUAUGGAGGAACACCGGUGGCGAAAGCGGCUCUCUGGCUUGUAACUGACGCUGAGGCUCGAAAGCGUGGGGAGCAAACGGGAUUAGAUACCCUGGUAGUCCACGCCGUAAACGAUGAGUGCUAGGUGUUAGACCCUUUCCGGGGUUUAGUGCCGCAGCUAACGCAUUAAGCACUCCGCCUGGGGAGUACGACCGCAAGGUUGAAACUCAAAGGAAUUGACGGGGGCCCGCACAAGCGGUGGAGCAUGUGGUUUAAUUCGAAGCAACGCGAAGAACCUUACCAGGUCUUGACAUCC
rnacentral:rRNA from 1 species